UACGAAGGGUGCAAACGUUGCUCGGAAUUAUUGGGCGUAAAGCGCACGUAGGCGGCUUUGCAAGUCGGAUGUGAAAUCCCUCGGCUUAACCAAGGAAGUGCAUCCGAAACUGCAGAGCUUGAGUACUUAAGAGGAUCGCGGAAUUCCCGGUGUAGAGGUGAAAUUCGUAGAUAUCUGGAGGAACACCGGUGGCGAAGGCGGCGUUCUGGACUGCAACUGACACUGAGGAACGAAAGCCAGGGGAGCAAACGGG
rnacentral:rRNA from 1 species